UACAGAGGCCACAAGCGUUAGUCGGAAUCACUGGGCUUAAAGGGUGCGUAGGUGGGCCUGUAAGUGUUCUGUGAAAGCCCUCAGCUCAACUGAGGAACAGCAGGGCAUACUACAGGUCUCGAGGCAAGUAUGGGUGGGCAGAACAGUAGGUGGAGCGGUGAAAUGCGUAGAUAUCUACUGGAAUGCCGAUGGUGAAGACGGCCCACUGGGCUUGUCCUGACACUGAGGCACGAAAGCGUGGGGAGCAAACAGG
rnacentral:rRNA from 1 species